GCUGUUUACUUUCACUGAAGAGAGGAUUGUAGGGAUGUGGAUUGGUAAAGGAGUGGGCAAAGACUGGGAGGAGUCUAGUAAUAUUUGUACAUGCAUUACUACUAUGCUGAACCGUUGAAUUGAUAUGACCUCAAGCUACACCCAUUCAGGCACUAGCUACCCUAUACAGUGUAUACUCCCUCCAGCUGAAGGUCAUGUGAUCAGUGACUCCGCCCUAUUGUACCCCCACUAUAAUAACGGAUUGGUAAUAGCGUAUUAUGAUAAGAAUGGGAAUGGAAAAACAAAGAAUGAAGAACAGGAAUCAAAAGCUACCAAUUUAAUCGUUUUUGAUAAGGUUUCUGAGUGAUACUUUCCAUUAGCUGAUUUGUAGUGUCGGAACUGGUUGAUCCUGCCCACUAACGAGGACAAACCGGUUUGUCUGGUUCCUAAUAGUUCACUCUCAGUAUCGACUUUCCUUCUGUCACAAGAGAAUUAUGUAAC